rnacentral:rRNA from 1 species
UACGGAGGGUGCAAGCGUUGUCCGGAUUUAUUGGGUUUAAAGGGUGUGUAGGCGGCCUAUUAAGUCAGUGUUUAAAGUCUGCAGCUUAACUGUAGGAAUGGCAUUGAUACUGAUAGGCUUGAGUAAAGUUGAGGUAGGCGGAAUUGACGGUGUAGCGGUGAAAUGCUUAGAUAUCGUCAAGAACACCGAUAGCGAAGGCAGCUUACUAGGCUGUAACUGACGCUGAGGCACGAAAGUGUGGGGAUCAAACAGG